rnacentral:rRNA from 1 species
UACAGAGGUGGCAAGCGUUGUUCGGAAUUACUGGGCGUAAAGGGCGCGUAGGCGGCCAUCUAAGUCAGACGUGAAAUCCCCCGGCUUAACCUGGGAACUGCGUCUGAUACUGGAAGGCUUGAGUAUGGGAGAGGGAUGUAGAAUUCCAGGUGUAGCGGUGAAAUGCGUAGAUAUCUGGAGGAAUACCGGUGGCGAAGGCGGCAUCCUGGACCGACACUGACGCUGAGGAGCGAAAGCCAGGGGAGCAAACGGG